rnacentral:lncRNA from 1 species
GGGCCACCAGAGCCCGGUCACCGGCUGUGCCUGCCAGGGCCCCUGGCCCGGGGUCCGGGGGCUGCCGUGCAGACCGUGCCACGGGAACGCCCGUAGGAGCCGCAUGGACACGGGCUGCACGUCCCAGCGAGGGACUUCCAGCCCUCAACCUCCCAUAUCCCCAUUUAUGCUCCUCUGCUGGAACUGUGUCCACGGGAAGAUCCUGUUCUUGCUGCAAGCUGCUCUGCUUGGGCCGACUUCACCGACUUUGAUCUGAAACUGCGGAUGGAAGAAGGGUGGAAGUACCAGCAGGACAAAGGUUCACACACAGGAAGGCUCCCUCAAUAUUUGAUUCACCUGGAAAACAGGACCUAAUACCUAAGUUGUGGUCAGUAAUUUCCUCACCUGUGUGAUUAAAAAGACUCUUUCAAAUUUGAUAGCUCUUGGCUAUUAAUCAAAUCCUUUAAGAGAGCUGAUGAAUCACCCAGCCCUAGAAAGGGAUAAGCAAGGGUGCUUAACCUCUCAGUGCACUCACAGAAUAGGUCCCGAGUCCAUACUGGAACUCAGCAAACAAAUGGGAUGACCAGAAUUUACAAGGGAAAUUUCUAGCUUAUGUACUAUUGUCAUUUACUGUAAGAAAUGAAAAAAGAAAUAUAUUCAUCUCUAGAGAUUAUUUACCUCGCACCUAAUUGUGCACUUGGAAAUUACUGUACCCUAAAACAGCUCUGAUAAGCAAAGAUGAAACUCAAAUAGCUAAAAGGGAACUAAAAGAGCUCUUGCUUAGUAUCAAAUCCUGUUUUAAAACUUUCUGCUCUUAAAGACAUCCUGUUUAUAUAUUUAAUCAAUGAACUGGAUGUAAGACAAACAAUAAUGGCCUGCAAUCUUCUGUGAAAUGCAUAUUUGCAGAGAUGGAGUAACUCAGCUUUUAAAGUAAACAGCUAAACAGCUUGGGAAAUUCCCCAAAUUCCUGGUAGAUUUUGUUUCUGUUUCUCUGUGAACAAUGUUCUAAAUUUUUUUUGUCUCUGGGAACAUAUAAUGGUUCAAUGGUAGGCAUUUAGAAAACUCCCUUUUUUAAUGCUCUUUCCUUGCAUGGAUCUAAUCAAAUAAUUCAAUUUAGUAAGAGACUGCCUCUGACAAAACCUUACAUCUGACCUCCUGUUAAAAUGAGUUUCUGGAUAAAGAAAUCUUAAGGGAUUGCUUUGUUUGUUUUAAGAUCUGCUUUCUUUUAAAGUUCAAUCGCAAGCCU